AUUGAACGCUGGCGGCGUGCUUAACACAUGCAAGUCGAACGAUGAAGCUGGAGCUUGCUCCGGUGGAUUAGUGGCGAACGGGUGAGUAACACGUGAGCAAUCUGCCCUUCACUCUGGGAUAACUGCGGGAAACUGUAGCUAAUACCGGAUACGAGACCUUGGGGCAUCCCAGGGUCUGGAAAGAAUUUCGGUGAAGGAUGAGCUCGCGGCCUAUCAGCUAGUUGGUGAGGUAAUGGCUCACCAAGGCGACGACGGGUAGCCGGCCUGAGAGGGUGACCGGCCACACUGGGACUGAGACACGGCCCAGACUCCUACGGGAGGCAGCAGUGGGGAAUAUUGCACAAUGGGCGAAAGCCUGAUGCAGCAACGCCGCGUGAGGGAUGAAGGCCUUCGGGUUGUAAACCUCUUUUAGUAGGGAAGAAGCGAAAGUGACGGUACCUACAGAAAAAGCACCGGCUAACUACGUGCCAGCCGCCGCCGUAAGAC
rnacentral:rRNA from 1 species